UGAGUACGAGACGCUACGGCGUCGAAGCAGUCUAUGUCAUACUUCCAAGAAAAGCUUGCACUGUCAUAAACAAAUAAUGCCUGUACCAUAACCGACACAGGUGGGUAGGUAGAGUAUACUAAGGGGCGCGAGAUAACUCUCUCUAAGGAACUCGGCAAAAUGACUCCGUAACUUCGGGAGAAGGAGUGCCUUAUUCUUAAGGUUGCAAUAACAAGAUCCAAGCAACUGUUUAUCAAAAACACAGGUCUCCGCUACGUCGUAAGACGAUGUAUGGGGGCUGACGCCUGCCCAGUGCCAGAAGGUUAAAGAAGUUGGUUAGCAUUCGCGAAGCUGAUAACUGAAGCCCUGGUGAACGGCGGCCGUAACAAUAACGGUCCUAAGGUAGCGAAAUUCCUUGUCGGGUAAGUUCCGACCCGCACGAAAGGCGUAAUGAUUUGGAUACUGUCUCGGAUAGGGGCUCGGUGAAAUAGACUUGUCUGUGAAGAUGCGGACUACCUGCACCUGGACAGAAAGACCCUAUGAAGCUUUACUGUAACUUGAAAUUGAAAUUGGACUUUAUUUGCGCAGUAUAGGUGGGAGGCGUUGAGAAUAUUCUUGCGGGAAUAUUGGAGCCAUCAGUGAGAUACCACUCUUGUAAUGUUAGAUUUCUAACUUUGAAUCAUUAUCUGGUCAAAGGACAGUUUCAGGCGGGCAGUUUGACUGGGGCGGUCGCCUCCUAAAUGGUAACGGAGGCGCACAAAGGUUUCCUCUGAACGGGUAGAAAUCGUAUCUAGAGUGUAAAGGCAUAAGGAAGCUUGACUGUGAGACCUACAAGUCGAGCAGGGACGAAAGUCGGUCUUAGUGAUCUGACGGUGCUGAGUGGAAAGGCCGUCACUCAACGGAUAAAAGUUACUCUAGGAUAACAGGCUGAUCUCCCCCAAGAGUUCACAUCGACGGGGAGGUUGGCACCUCGAUGUCGGCUCAUCGCAUCCUGGGGCGGUAGUACGUCCCAAGGGUUGGGCUGUUCGCCCAUGAAAGCGGUACGCGAGCUGGGUUCAGAACGUCGUGAGACAGUUCGGUCCAUAUCCGGUGUAGGCGUUAGAAUAUUGAGAGGAGCCUUCUUUAGUACGAGAGGACCGAGAAGGACAUACCUCUGGUGUACCAGUUAUCGUGCCAACGGUAAACGCUGGGUAGCUAUGUAUGGAGAGGAUAACCGCUGAAAGCAUCUAAGUGGGAAGCCCACCUCAAGAUAAGUAUUCUC
rnacentral:rRNA from 1 species